UUCCGGCGAAAGUUUUAGGUCAAAUCGAAGAGGACGACGAGAGGAACACUCAGGUUGUGAUCUUUAAAGUGUAUGGUGGAAGACUUGUGUCGAAGCGACGUGUCGUACUUGGUUUGAGGAGAUAAGUGAUGGCUGCUCGACGACCUUAUACGUAUCGUCGUAGGGGACCUCUGGAUGAAAGGUUCCAUUUUAUGAUUUAAGUUUGAGUCUUUGAAUUUUAAUUAUGUGAUGUUUGUGAGUUGAGUUUGUAUGUGUGUAAUGAACAGUAAGUGAAGUUUAUGUAAUGUUGAUGGAUUAAAAAGUUUUAGCAAUUGUAUGUGUUGAACAGUUGAAACACUUGAGUUUGAUAUUGUUUAGUGGCUCUUUCAUGUAUUUUGAGAUGAUAUUUAUGUUCU